rnacentral:lncRNA from 1 species
UGCGUCCAAGCAUAACCUUGAGAGUGGUCACUGCUCCAGCUGCUGGGCUCUGUCUACUGUAACUGCUUUAAGAAAGUAAUGGGAUGAGGAAGUUGGAGUGGUGUUCAAAGUCCUAGGUUCUGUAGCCUUCACCCAAUCAAGCUCUUGUCUUCAAUCAAUGUUUGCUGUGAAGCUCUUGUGCAGAUUGGCCUGAACCUGCCCAGCCCGGGGAGAGACGUGGAGAACUGAUGUUGGCUCCACGGGAAAGUACCACCAAAGGUGCAUACAUCCCUAAUGUAACACCCCAGAGAUGUCACCUUCUACAGCCCCCUGGGCUUCCUAGGCCCAGUAGAGGAAUCAGGGCAUGGGGAGUUCAGCAUACCACGGGGCCCUAUGGACACACAGGCUCAGAAGUCAGAAGAAUGCAGCACCUGGCCCCACCCCAUGGUACCCAGGUGUCUGGGCUAUUCACACAACGGAACACCCGGAACACCCGUGACCCUGGGAAAGGUGCAGAGCCUGUGAAUAUUUCAUGUCAGGAGCCGGCGGCUGCCGCUCCCGUUCACAUCAUGCCCAAGCUUCCCUCU